GAUAUAGUCGAGCUAUCUGGUGUUCGGGAAGACGGUGAGAGUCCGUCGCUACCCCGUAACUGUAAGCGUUGAGAGUCUGGACAAGGUGUCCAAAAAGCCACUGGGAGCGGAUGCUCCUGGGAAGGCCGUUCAGGCUCGACGAAGCGCAAGUCAGGAGACCGGCCAGAUGCGCAGCACGCUU
rnacentral:ncRNA from 1 species